GGGAGUGCUCAGUAAUGUGGUGGAGUUGUGGGAUUUGUGUGUCCUUGGGUGGCUGGUGGUGUAGCUGUGUCAUAGUGAAGUCAGUAUGUACUGUUGUUAGAAGAGAGAGCAUACCAAAUCACAACAUGUUUCAUGCAAUCUGUCUCUGCUUCUGCUGAAGAACAGUUACUGAUUUGAUGAGAAGCCAGCACUUUUAAGAGGAUGCUGAUGGGAACCCAGUGGUGGAAGUGAGAAGAAGUAAACAGUGCAUAACUCGCUGUUGUGCCCACUGUGGUGUCCAGCAGGAGUUCCCUGCCCUCUGUCUGCCAGGAUGCUGCUCCUCUUUGCACAGACCAUCUCCUGUGAGGUGCUUGAGCCAUGGGAUCGUGCUGAUCAUCCCUGCUCCUCCUCCUGCUCUCUCCAGACCCCUCCUGUGUGGCACUGGCUGCCUGUGCUGCCAGCUAGCAAGCAGCUGCCUGGGGAUGGGCCAGUUUUCACUUCACUGCAGCCUGUUAUGUAUUCUGUGUGGGUUCCACUCUGCACCUGCAGUGUCACAGAAUCAUGGAAUAGUUUGGUUGGAAGGGAUCUUCAAAUGUCUCUAAUGCACAUCAAAGAGGAGGUUUUUUGGUUUCAUGUACAUUAAAUAGUGUAUGGAUUAAGACUUAAAAAAUAGGUUUUAUUUAAUCACAUAAGAAUUGACCACACAAAAUUGAGCCGAAGGUUGGUCUAGCCCAAUAUUCCAUGUUUAUUUGAUGGCAGACAAAAAAAGAUGUUUGGGAAAGAGUCUAAAACUGGGGCAAUGGUGUAGUGGGACAGCCUCAAAGGUGCCUUCCCCGUCUCCAGAGAUUUGUGGCAUUUUAAUGGAUGGACUAUUUCUAUUUAAUUGGUGGGGAAUUUGGUGAAGUGCCACCCACAGAAGUUCAAGGACUGUGUUUAACAUGGAACCUCAUCACUGAGACUGAUUGUGUGUACAUCGAUAUUCUGGCACUGGUGAUUCUUACCAUCAAAGGAAGACCCUGUCUAAUCAAACAAGGUGUGAUGCUUGACUUACAGAAGAUUGAUUUCUGUCUCAGAGAAACCUUGACUCAUGCUUUUCAGCUUGUUCCAAACACAUACAUUGUUACUUUCUUUUAUCUUAUACGCCAUGCAAUUAAAAAAGUGUGGACUUUUCUAAAGGAGGAAACAGUUGAUCAGAAAAGCCUGCUGAACAGCAAGUGCUGUUACAAGACAGAAAAAGCAGCUCUGAUCAUGUUUUGACUUUUUUUUUUCACAUUUGGAUACUGAAUUUAACAACCUCUUGAUUUUUUAUUCUUAAUCAGGAACACACCUUGUUUUUGUUCAAUUAAAAGAGUGUCUUGGAGCUACAUGGUUUCAGAAAGGUCAUGUUGUAGAGCCAUAUGCAGAACAACUGUCACCUGAUUCUCCAUUCAUUAACUCUGCAGAAGGAGGUUUUUCUUUUAAGAUGAGAAAGAAGUCAGUGGCACAAAAUUGUUUAUCUCGUCUUCUGAUUCCAAUUUUUUUUUUUGCCUGUAGAAUGCUGCUUGUAAUAUUUUAUACAUGCAAUCUCUGAGCUAAAUAAAUAAAUAAUUUUUUUUUCUGCCAGAAAAACUUUUCAGGUGAGUCUUGAUGUCUCCAUCACAAAGUUUUCUCCUUCAGGAGUUCAUGUGCACUUCUGGGUCAGCCCUGGACAAUGCAUUUGCGGUUUCAGGAGCAGCAGUCCCACCCUUGUUUUCCCAUGGCCAGAUUUCCUGGAGAGGUUGGGUGAUCCUGGGUAAUUUGUGCUCCUGCCUGAGACAGAAUCCUGGUGAUGCAAGGGAGACUCAGGAAUUUGUUGCCUCAGAGCUUCAGGAGCUGUUCUUUAACCAGCUGUCUGUGGUAUUUUAAUUUAGGGCUCAGCCCUAUUCAAUCCCAGAUAUGAGAUCUUUAUAAGAAAUACUUAUCCUUCAUUUGCUUUGAA